AGAGAGCCAAGGAGAGAAGGGCCAGGGAGGACACAGCUGGCUGGCUGCCUGAGGCCCCAGGGUCCUUCCUGGCUCCCUGUCCAGGCUCCACCCACAGUCACAGCAAUGCCUGGAACCUUCUAGGACAGCCAGAUCCUGACCUACCAGUAUGGGAUCCCCACCUCUCUCCGGAACACAGGCCAGCAGUGGGACUUCCCUAAUGGCUGGGCCCCUCUCCAGGACCUGGUCAUCAGAGGAAGUGGCUUUCCAGCUGGCCCAGAAUUGGAUUCGAACCAACUUUGACGUCUACUCACAAAAGUCAGCCAUGUAUGAGAAGUACGACAUCAGCAAUGGACAGCCGGGCAGUGGAGGGGAGUAUGAAGUUCAGUACCGGGAUUGAACUCAGAACCUUGUGCUUGUGAGGCAGGUAUGGCACCACUGAGCUAAACCCCUGGUCCUAGGAUCACUCUGAUUUUGAUUACAUGAAUGAGAUGUAGUGCAUAUUUAUGAAUCUUUAAUUUCUAGUAGGUAAAGGUGACUGAAGGUCAGGCCAGAAGACCCAAAUACUCAGUUGCUGUCACUUAGAGCUUUGAAGAUUUCCUGGUGUUUUGUUAUGUUAUUUUCUACCUCUUUUAGGAAGAUGGAAGAAGAAAUGGCCCUAGAGUAUAGUCCAAACUCAGAUGAGUGGAGGGGAGUGAUUUCCUCAGCCCCUUUUUUCUAACUGCACUAGUUUGCCUGGUCCAAUGGGUUGGCCUGAUGCUCCUGGACCACUAUGGUGACCAGCUGACCUCAGAGACCCAGCUGACUCUCCUGAUGCCCCACUGCCUGGUGGCCACCUUUCUCUCCCACCUCCUGUUCAGCUUCCUGCCAUGGUGGCUAUGGUGGCCACAAGGACCGACCAGGAGGCCACAUGCCCACCUCUAUCUAUCUGCAUGUCCUCGUCUGGCUCCAGCUCCUGCCUCCGUAAACUCCUGCACUACGCUCUCUCCUCCUGCUCCCUUCAGUCACCACCUUCCAACCUGUCUUCUGCUCAUCCUGCACUGGGGGCAGGGCAGUGACCUGGAGGCCAGGGGCUUUGGCCAGGGUUCCUGCUAGAGCCCCUUUACCUCCCUCUCUCUCUCUCUCUCCCUCUUUCUAUUAUAAAUGGUGUUUGAGCGGCCACUUGGAUACAGGCUUUGUGUGAGAAAAAGCUUUAUUCUUGUCCAGGUGUGAACAGGGACUGAAAUUGGGGGCAGAUUUCAGCAGCUAGCUGGGAAGAGCCAAAUUUAUUUCAUCGAUGUGUGGAUAGGCUGACAUCAAGAGAGAGAUAGUAGCAGCUAGCUGGAAGAGAAAACUACGUUUAUAUAGGAUUUGAGAAAGGGCUGUGAUCAUAGGGAAUGUUUAUGACUGAGGGCCCAAGAACAGUCAGCAUGAAUGUGCAGACAAUCACUGGACUUCUUAGUGCCGGGGAGAUUGUAUACUUGGUCCUAAAUUUUCUUUAUGGCCAUCUGUCCUAUUUACUGAGAGUAGCCUGUUGUUUGCAGAGAAUGGCGUGUUUGCUGUGGAGUUCUCAUUUAAGCCAGGCAUGACCCUCUCUCUCUCUCUCUCUUUUUUCUUUUUCUCUUUCUUCUUUUCAGUGCUAGAGCUUGAAACCAGGGCAUCUUGCCUGCAGGCAGGUACUCUACCAGUGAGCUAUACUCCCACCCUAGAACCUUUAAUAUGGUGGAGAUCUUGCUCUGGCAGGUGGGAGGAGACUCAUACCUACUGGCCAUUGUGCCCCAGCCCCACUGCCCCCACAACCUGUCCGUUCACAUACCUACUUAGUCCAAAUACAGUGCUACCUCAAUUUACAAACUUAAUUUGUUCCACAAUCCUGGGGAAGAUGGCUGCGUUCCUGUUUAUGCAGGGAAGAUGGCCACAGUCAUGUUCAUCACCUGAUACAGAGUUCACAAAUGGAAGCAAAAUUUUGCCAAAUGCUUCUGUUUGUGAACAGAACUGUUCGCAAACAGAAGCAUUUGUGAACCAAGGUUUUACUGUAUUCUGCUGAAAUCCUCACAAAUACUGAAGAACACCCGGCCCAGCCCCAAGCAAUCUAGGUCCCCUGGCUAGGGAUGGUGGAUAGGAGAGCUGUUGCUUCAAAGGAGCUUUAGAGAAGGAGUACAUGAUGAUAAAAUAAAAACUUCUUUAUUGUGUUUGGUUUUGGGGAUCAAACCCAGGGCCUUGUUUAUGCCUAGCGUGCACUCUGCCACUGAGCUACAUCAUCCCUAGUCCUAUUUUCUCAUUCUUAAUUAAUCUAAUAAAUAAUAGCUUGCUUAAAAUAACAAUAGCAACAGGGCUGGGGAUUUAGCUCAGUGGUUUCAACGCCUGCCUCACAAGCACAAGGUCCCGAGUUUGAUUGCUGGUACCAAAAAAAAAAAAAUAAUAAUAAUAACAAUAACAAUAGCAACAAUGUAUUCAGUGAUUAUAGUUUAUGGAAAAGUGAAAUGAAUAGCAGAAAUGACACAAGGGUCAGGAGGGAGAAAUUAAGGCUACUUUGUUGUUAUAAGGUACUUCUGCUAACAACAAAGUGGUUGUUAUGGUUUAUAUCUAGAUAGCCCCAAAGCCACAUGCACUCUGAGGUGAGGCUUUUGGAAGGUGAUUGGAUUAUUGGAGCUUAUAGCUGACUUGCUGCUAGGAGGUGGGGUCUGAUUGGAAAAGGUGAAUCACUGAUCAAUCUUACACAUACAUAUAACAGUAUCAAAAUAUGUGAGCCAAAACUCAAUAGUAUUGCAGGGGGAACUAGAUGAAUAUAUAGAAUUAUAAUAUUAAGAACUGAUUUAUGCCAAUGUCUUCGAGUGUUCUACCUAACUUAUCUUCCAGCAGGUUAAUUUUUACCAGCUGUUCCUCAGACAAAGGUCUACUAUCUAAAAUAUAUAAAGAACUAAAAAAAAAUCAUACGCUCCAAAUAUAAAGACCCAGUUCAAAAAUGGGCAUCUGAAAUGAACAGACGUUUCUCAAAGAAGUAAAAGCAGCAAAUAAAUAUAUGAAAAAAUGUUCAACGUCACUGGUCAUUCAAGAGAUGCAGAUGAAAACAACACUGAGAUUCCAUCUCACCCCAGUAAGAAUGGCUGCUAUCAAGAAAUCAACCAAUAACAAAUGCUGGCAGGGUUUUGGGGGAAAAAGGAACCCUGCUCCACUGCUGGUGGGAGUGCAGACUGGUGCAACCACUGUGGAAAUCAGUGUGGAGAUACCUCAAAGAACUAGGACUAGAGGUCCCAUUUGACCCCGCUAUUCCUCUGCUGGGUAUCUUCCCAAAAGAAGUCAAAGAAUGAUACCACAGUGAUAUAUGCUCACCCAUGUUUAUAGCAGCAGAGUUUGUAAUAGCUAAAACUUGGAAACAGCCCAAGUGCACAUCAACUGGAGACUGGAUAAACAAGAUGUGGUUUUUUUAAUAAAAUGGAGUACUUACUACUUGCCCAUAAAGAAUGAGAAACUAGAGACAUUUAUAGAUAAAUGGAUGCAUAUUGAGGCCAUACUCUUAAGUGAAAUAAAUAGGACACACAUGUGUAAAUACCGAAUAGUUUCUCUGGUGUGAAAAACUAAAAGUGUAAAUAAGGAUCAAAAUGUAUAAUUGAUAUUGUGAAAUAGGAAGAAAACAUCUAAAGGAGUAAGGGAAGUGGGAGGGGUAGGGAAAAGGAAAGAAGGGAAAAGAAAAAAUAUGAGAAAAGGAAAAAAAUGGAAACAAAGUCUUUGUAAAUAAG
ensembl:lncRNA